rnacentral:lncRNA from 1 species
GGUCUUGGUCAUAAGAUAUGGUUCUUUGCUGGCUCGCCUUUAUUUCGGUUUCUUUGGAUCUCCAUAAACACUUUGGAUUUUGAACUUGCUCCACCUUGAUAACAACUCCUCCAUAACUCCUCAUUUCAUAACUUUGUGUUGAUCACUAGAUGUGCUUCUUUAUAGGUUGGCCUUAGAUAUCUCCCCUUGAUUUCUUCAGUCUUCUUCUAGAUUUUCUGAUUCUGAACUCGCUCCAUCUUAAUCCAUCUCCAUGCAUUUCCUCGGUCUUGAAUCCUUUCAUUUCUUCACUUCUUGAUUUCUCAUGCUUCACUUAAUCUCAACUCGUCUUCAUAACUCUUUACUUUGCUUGCUCAUGUCCCUUUGUGUAUACUGUCUAAAGUCGCCAUAAUCGUCUUCAUAUCUCUUCACUCUGCCUUUCACUGUCCCUUGAGUGUCCUUCCCAAUGUCACCACAAUCAUCUUCAUAAAUCUUCACUUGAAUGAUCACUGCGUCUUCUUCUUAGCUUUUACUUUGCUGCCCAACUAAUUUCUCAUGAUACGAUCUUGCCAAUCUGCGCCUCUGAUUACUCCAACCAUUUCCUCGAUCUCUCAUUUCCCAGAUACUGAUGAAGUCCUUUCCCAACGAAGUCUUGUUUCUUCCCAUCUGUCCAGUCCAUACCACAUCCCAGUUCUCUGAAUCUGUCUCUCCUCUUUCGCUUCGGGUUUGGGUUUGGCCUUGAACUCCCUCCACUUUAAGGUUUUCAUUCCUUAAAGUUCCGAUCAACAAACAUACUUACUCGCUGCAACUCAAAAGAACACUUAACAUGCAAGUUAGUAGACAAUUAAUCAAAUAAUCCACUAACCCAGCAAAUACUAACAAUGCAACCUAACCGCAAUUCUAACCAGCAACCUAACAGUUCUACCCAAGCAACCUAACAGUUCUACCCAAGCAACCUAACAGUUCUAGAUUCCACUAUCUCAAUCCAAAUUCCUAAAACCACAAAUCCUAUCGCUGGACGUGACCGGUUUCCCUAAUGCCUUUUGUGACUCAUUUUGACUCGAUAAAUAUUUAAAACCGAUUAAAUCAGGAGUUCCGGAAGCAUGGACGAAACCAUGCUC